rnacentral:lncRNA from 1 species
CUCUCUCUCUCUCUCUCAAUUCCCUUGGCGCUCUCUCUCUCUGCCAAAAACCCUGUCGCCGAAGAUCACUCAUUCCCUCUUGCCUCAACGUUCUCACUUCCUUCUUCUCGUCCGAUAAUGCCUUCCUCUCAUCCGGCGUAUCCUUCCUCAUUUCUUAGAUCUGGUUUUAAACCAGUGGAGGCAGUGGUAGCGGAGGCAAUUGGUUAGGGGAAAUUUUCGUGGGUGUAGUGGUUGUGGUGUAAUGGAGAUGGUGGUGAUGGUGACGAUGUGGUGGCGGUGACGAUGGUUGGUGGUACAGGUGGUGGACACCAUUCGCCUAAGAUUUGGAUGUCAUUUGAAUGGCUUCUGUGUUGAGAUUACAG